CCUACGGGUGGCAGCAGUGGGGGAUAUUGCACAAUGGGGGGAACCCUGAUGCAGCGACGCCGCGUGGGUGAAGAAGCGCCUCGGCGCGUAAAGCCCUGUCAGCAGGGAAGAAAAUGACGGUACCUGAAGCAGAAGCCCCGGCUAACUACGUGCCAGCAGCCGCGGUAAUACGUAGGGGGCAAGCGUUAUCCGGAUUUACUGGGUGUAAAGGGGGCGCAGACGGCGAUGCAAGCCAGGAGUGAAAGCCCGGGGCCCAACCCCGGGACUGCUCUUGGAACUGCGUGGCUGGAGUGCAGGAGGGGCAGGCGGAAUUCCUGGGGUAGCGGUGAAAUGCGUAGAUAUCAGGAGGAACACCGGUGGCGAAGGCGGCCUGCUGGACUGCAACUGACGUUGAGGCCCGAAAGCGUGGGGAUCGAACAGGAUUAGAUACCCGGGUAGUC
rnacentral:rRNA from 1 species